GGCAGCUGCUCCGUAUCCCUGUAAUGAGCUCUCCAGUCCGAUCCAGAAAGGGAGGCCAGCAUCACAGAACCACGUGUCACAAUCGUGAUACUAGACGCGAUAAAUCAACCCCUGCUGGAUCAGUCGCUUUGGAGUGGGAAUUCUGGCUGCAUGAGGACUGAGAAAAAAUUUAUGUAAAGACUUCAAGAUCAGGAUCCAUACACAUUUCUUUGCUGAGCUGGUAUUUUCAGUCUGAUGGAGAGCAAAGUAAUGGUUGCACUGUGUUAUCCCACCUCCCUGGCUCCCAAAGCAUGAAGAGGAACGGAUCAGCCCUGGAGACAGAGUGGCAGCCAGCCCUGAAAGACAAGAGCCUCACUGCAGACAAAGAACAGUAAAGGAACUGAGCGUGCUCAGCAUACUGCAGCAGCAGCAGCCUCAUUAAUUCCAUCACCAGCCCAAUGAGUUUAAGCAAGCGCCAGGGGUAUUACAAUAGUUUGUAGCAAUAUGUUGCAUAAGUGAGCCCCAAAUCACUGUGCAGUUAUUUAGAAAGUACAUCUUGCAUACCACUAACAGGAGUGCUUUUAUUAAUGAUGUAUACCAGAAACACAAUAAGACAUCGCAGCUACUCCGUAGCAAGACCUAUAAUUUUAAUGAUGUGAUGAAUAAGGCAAUUAAUGUACUUCAAUUU